rnacentral:lncRNA from 1 species
AAUAGAAACAUCAAUGACUUUUCAACACAUAUCUUUAAAAGUAGAGGAUAUGCAAAUUAUUAUAAUAUAUUUUGAACCUCUUAUUGAGCAAAAAAAGACUUAUUAUUGUCAAAAAAGAUUAUAUUUAUAUUAUAGAGAAUCAAAGCGUAUUAUUCAAUAUUAUCCAAAGAAGUAAUGCAAUCAUAAAAUAAGAAGCACAAUUGUCAAAGAAGAU